ensembl:lncRNA
AAAAAAAAAAUCAAGAGAAGUGAACUCAUCCUGGAGGUUUUAAUUAGAGUGACUGCAGGUGGCAGGUCGCUGGGUUGCGGCCUCUCCCAGGCUCUUCAAGGGCACUGCAGCUCUACAGCUGCUUGGGCUCAAGUUGCAGGUAGGGAGAGGUCAUGCAUCUUAAAAGAAAGAGAGAGAGAAAAAAAAACUAAACAGUGGUAAUGUUGAUUUAGCUGUCUGGUUCACCCUGAGCCUCUCAGGGUUUGCAGCGAUGGUUUCCUCACCGAUAUGCACUAGAUGGUGCUCUGCACCCUUGGCAAAUGGAUGUGAUGUGAUGCAUUGGAAUGGAGCUCGGUCAUCGCAGGUCAGUGGGGCAGUGGGCAUCAACAGCGGGGGUUGCAGCCUCGUUAACUCCUGCACGAGUGCCAAAAUAAUCCAUGCAUGAGCACCUGAUUAUUGUUUGUGCAUGAACACUCAUCUAACUCAUGCAUGAGUGCUCAAUUAAUUUAUGCACAAGAGCUCAAACAGCUCGUGCCUAAGCACCAAAUUAAUUCAUGCAAGAACAACCGAUUAAUUCGUUCACAAGAACCCAAUUAGCUGAUGCAUGAGCACCCAAUUAAUUUAUGUAUGAGCCCAAUUAUUUCAUGCAUGAGCACCCACAGAGCUCAAGUACGAGCAACCAAUGAAUUCCUGCACCAGAGGAAUCCAUGCAUUAGCACCAAACCCACAUGCAUCCACGCUCCCUCUUUGCUUUUGCAUGAGCACCCAAUGAAUUCACACAUGGGUACUGGUUAGUCCAUGCAUAGUGCCUGUUCAGUUUGGGCAUGGACUGCAAAGGUCCACCCUGCAUUGGAGACCUUGCAAAGCCCACACCAGAUUUGGGACCUCUGAUCACCUCUAAGGCCCACAGCCCCACCAGCUACAUGGUGACCCCGUUCUGCAAGGCAGCUCUUGAGCAUGGGCACAAACACGAGCUAUUUAUUCUCUCUAAUUCAUGUCUUGGGUCUCUUAAGUUCAAUUAUUUCCAGUCCAGCCUGUUUUUUUAAGCUGUUAGAACAACAUCAAGAGAAACCAAGCCUCUAGAUCACAUCACCAUCACUUCCUGCACUCCAAACUGGACCCAUCCCAAGCAAGCAAACUCUUUUCUCAAUGGGUUAAGUACCGGGCAAGCAUCCUUAAGCUCAUUUGUUCCCAAAGAGGCAAGAAAAAACACAGCUUUCCUGCGUGGAUAUUCAGGGCUUGGAGGUGAAGAGUGCAGGGGGAGCCCAUGGCACACUCAUGGGGCUGCUGCCUGCUGCUGCCAGGGCUCUGCUGGGGCAGGGUCAGGACCCUGGGCUCCUCCAGCAUCAUUUUCCCACAUGUUCAGCCCAUGUGUGAGUUGCACCCAAGCCUGCGACUCCGCGCCGAGAUGCCUUUGGCAGAAGGAGCUGUGCUAAUCUCUCGACACGGGGCUGUCCCGGCUCUGCACAGAUAAAAUAAAUAUUUAGCUUUAAAACAUCUAACAGUUUUCAAAGGGCUCGGGAUGGCCCAAGCCUGUUUAGUCUGCAUGCAUAGCAAAGGGUGCGUAUCCCUUUCAUCAUUGCUGUAUGUCUCUGGCGCUUUUAUCCAGUGAUCUUCACCAUGCUCCCCAGAGAGGUUGCUCCUGUUCCCUUCUGAAGGAGUGGUGAGGCAGUGGCACAGCUGCCCAGGGAGUGGGCAGGUCGCCAUCCCUGGAGGCAUUAUGAACUAUGAAGAUGUGGCACUGAGCAACAUGGUCAGUGGGCACGAUGGGGAUGGGUUGGGGUCCGACUUGGUGAGCUUAGUGGUCUUUCCCCAUGAUUCUGAGUCUAUCCUAUGACUCUACUUCUCCUCCCUGGCAGCCUCAAUUUAAUUUUGUUUUAUUCCAGCUUGCGCCCUGCACUGGCCUAAGAGAGACACACAGGCUCUUGCCAAGGCUUGGAAUUAUUGGUUUUAGAAACAAACCCAUUUUUUCAGGCUUUGGGUUCUUAAUGCCAUCAGCUUUCCAAGAAAUUUUAAAUCCAGUAAAAUUCACCCCAUCCCACAAUUGCUCAUGGAAACAAAGGCCGGGCGGACUAUUUGUGCCAAAAAGUUGGCAGGCUCAUGGCUUCGUGAAACGCAGCGUUGUUGGAAGAGUGAUCUGUUGUGGGGGAAAAUGCACAUCAUUGGUAUUUCUGGUUCUAGAAAACAAGUGGAAACAAGGCAUUUCAGAAAGAAACAACCUUUAAAAAUAGCACAUAGCAAAUGGGAAGGCUUACACCGCUAGUUUUCAGCCCUGCUCUCCCCGCAGGAAAGGGGCAGGCAGGGUGAUGAUAUUUUUAGGCUGCUGUUCCUGCCAUGGAUGCAAGGAAAGCUGCUUUUCCCAAUGCUGGCAGGGAGCACUGUGCUGUGGGAAUGUCUGCCUGCCCCAGCUCCAGGGAAUGGUGGUGGAAGGCAGCUUGGAGCCAGCAGCUUGUUUGUGAGGGGCCAUCCCAGGGGCUCACUCAGCACCAGCAUUUCAUGACAGUCAUCAGGGGAUUCCUUGCUGGGAGGUCUGCACAAGAUGAACGUGGUGCAACAGCACUUAUAAUGAGGAGUGAGGAGCUCCUUUCAGCUCGUUUAAAGCCAAGAGGUCCUAACCCUGCACCACAGAUAGCAAAGCAGAUGCAGGAAAAGUAGAAGUCAGGUCCCCUGUUAUAAGCAUGAUUUCCAAAAGUCAUUUACUUAGAGCUUCAUGCAGAGUUAGCAGAAGGGCUAGAUGUGGCAACGGGCAUGGUGGGAACGGUUGGUGGUUGGACUAGAUGAUCUUAGAGGUCUUUUCCAGCCUUAAUGUUUCUGCAGUUGCACGAAAAGUGUUGGCAGUUGCUGCUUUAUUUAAAAAUGUGAUGGAAUGACAAGAACAGCAUAAUACAGACUUUGCUCUUCAUUAAAUGUAGACAAUAACAUGUUAUUUUAGUAGAAUUCACCUUCGUAAUAGUACUGCAAGAUAUUCAGCAUUUCCAAGCACCAGUCAUCGAGGAAGACUUUCCAGACACCAACAAGGCACCAUCAAAUCUAGUAGGCACAGCAAAUAGAGGUGGAGGUCUGACAAUCCAGUCAGUACUCAUUCAGGCUUCCCAAAGUAAGCCCACAGUGGUGAAGCCACAUUAUAAAGCACUGAUCCAGGAAGAACUCACUCUACCCCAGCUCAGAAUGCAAGAAGCAUUCCAUGAAGCAGCAGGCUCCACCCUCCAUCAGGUAUGGUGGUGUCUGAAUGGCUGAUCUCCCAGCAGAAGGGCUGCAAGGAGGCAGUGACCAACUGGGCACAGCUCAGGACAAGUAACCCACUGCUCCCAUAUCACCUGGAUCUCCCCUGUCUGAAAGGAGGAGUGGGGUAGGGGACACAGAUCUGCUGUUACUUUGGGGCCAUGGAUGGAGGCACCGACACAGUGACAAGCUUCAGUAAGAAAGUCACAGAGAUAAUACUGUGUGCCGAGAAAUGAACAGGUUGUCAGUUCCUAGAGUUAGAGCAACCUGAAAUAGGCCGAAGACUUGCAGCUGUGUCAGAAGUAUUCAGCCAUCCCUCCUCCCAUGCCCACCAUAGCUCCCAGGAAAGGGGUGAGGGAAAAAAAAAAUCUUGCCCACACAUUACACAGCUUCUGGCUGACCAGUGUAGAGGUUGAAAGAUUACUGAGGCAGGUUUCAGACAGCAGUCCCUCUGACCAGAGUUCUUACAUCAAUACUACCGUAUGAGUCCAUUCAUCCUUUUUCCCCCACAACUCCCAUCCUUCCACAUCCAACUUCUCCCCACGUCACUUCUCAUCACUCCAUGCAACAGACACACACCCUUCCUUUCAAGGAAAAACAUAAUAAUAAUAAUAAAUAAAUAAAACAGGCAAAAAAACAGCCUCUGCUUUUCAGCCCAUAAAAAAAAAAAAAAAUAAUAAUAAUAAUAAUAAUAAAAAAAUCAGCCUUUCC